CGGUUUGAUGAAUUCAAAUUGCUUUUAUCGAAAUAUAUGAACCCUAAAAUCGUUAUUUCAUUCACUUUAGCCCCAGAGAAGGUGAGCAACAACAUAAAGUGAAUGCUUUGUUAUUGAACAUACAACGUAAAAACGUUAAUGAUUCCUAUUUUAAAUAUGUCAGUCACCGGAACGGAGAUCUGUCAAUGUGAUAUUAACAAAAACAUUUACUUUUAUUAACAUUUUGGUAAAUAGCAUUAUUUCAUAAUUUAACAUGAAACAAUAAAUUGAAGCUCGACGUCAAGUGUUAUUUAUACAUUGUACGAAGUCUAGAAUCAAGACAUGUCAAUUUUCUUUCAUUAUUUUGCAUAGCAUUACCUAAUAUUAUAUUCUUUAAGGACUGGGAAUAAAGAUUUAUUAACACAAUUUUUUGUCAUAAUUAUCACAUUUCCAUUGAUGGCUAAGAUAUGAGUAUAAAAAAAUAAAAGGUAGAAGAGCCUUAUUUAAAUGGCAAAAAGAUUAUAAUAUUCUUAUAGUAACAGUCUAUUUCGAUUAAUCGAAAUUGUCAAAGAAAUACGAUCGCACAGGAAAUAAGCUUCGAGAGGAGAUUGCUUGCCACGA